CUAUACAUGCAGUCGAACGAACUUCCGUUGAUUGAUUAUGACGUACUUGUACUGAUUGAGAUUUUAACACGAAGUGAGUGGCGAACGGGUGAGUAACACGUGGGUAACCUGCCCAGAAGUAGGGGAUAACACCUGGAAACAGAUGCUAAUACCGUAUAACAGAGAAAACCGCAUGGUUUUCUUUUAAAAGAUGGCUCUGCUAUCACUUCUGGAUGGACCCGCGGCGUAUUAGCUAGUUGGUGAGGUAAAGGCUCACCAAGGCAGUGAUACGUAGCCGACCUGAGAGGGUAAUCGGCCACAUUGGGACUGAGACACGGCCCAGACUCCUACGGGAGGCAGCAGUAGGGAAUCUUCCACAAUGGACGCAAGUCUGAUGGAGCAACGCCGCGUGAGUGAAGAAGGGUUUCGGCUCGUAAAGCUCUGUUGUUAAAGAAGAACGUGGGUAAGAGUAACUGUUUACCCAGUGACGGUAUUUAACCAGAAAGCCACGGCUAACUACGUGCCAGCAGCCGCGGUAAUACGUAGGUGGCAAGCGUUAUCCGGAUUUAUUGGGCGUAAAGCGAGCGCAGGCGGUCUUUUAAGUCUAAUGUGAAAGCCUUCGGCUCAACCGAAGAAGUGCAUUGGAAACUGGGAGACUUGAGUGCAGAAGAGGACAGUGGAACUCCAUGUGUAGCGGUGAAAUGCGUAGAUAUAUGGAAGAACACCAGUGGCGAAGGCGGCUGUCUGGUCUGCAACUGACGCUGAGGCUCGAAAGCAUGGGUAGCGAACAGGAUUAGAUACCCUGGUAGUCCAUGCCGUAAACGAUGAUUACUAAGUGUUGGAGGGUUUCCGCCCUUCAGUGCUGCAGCUAACGCAUUAAGUA
rnacentral:rRNA from 1 species